CCUACGGGUGGCAGCAGUCGGGAAUAUUGCGCAAUGGAGGAAACUCUGAAGCAGUGACGCCGCGUGCAGGAAGAAGGUUUUCGGAUUGUAAAAUGCUUUAGACAGGGAAGAAAAAAGACAGUACCUGUAGAAUAAGCUCCGGCUAACUACGUGCCAGCAGCCGCAGUAAUACGUAGGGAGCAAGCGUUAACCGGAUUUAUUGGGUGUAAAGGGGGCGUAGACGGAGAAGCAAGUUAGUGGUGAAAUCCCUCGGCUUAACUCAGGAACUGCAACUAAAACUACUGCCCUUGAGUACUGGAGAGGAUGGGGGAAGUGCUGUGUAGCGGUGAAAUGCGUAGAUAUUAGGAGGAACACCAGUGGCGAAGGCGACUUUCUGGACAGUAACUGACGUUGAGGCACGAAAGUGUGGGGAGCAAACAGGAUUAGAUACCCUGGUAGUC
rnacentral:rRNA from 1 species